rnacentral:rRNA from 1 species
AUUGAACGCUGGCGGCAGGCCUAACACAUGCAAGUCGAACGAGUGGCAGACGGGUGAGUAAUGUCUGGGAAACUGCCUGAUGGAGGGGGAUAACUACUGGAAACGGUAGCUAAUACCGCAUACCAUCAGAUGUGCCCAGAGGGGAGUAGCUUGUUGGUGGGGUAACGGCUCACCAAGGCGACGAUCCCUAGCUGGUGUGAGAGGAUGACCAGCCAAACGGGAACGGAGACCCGGUCCAGACUCCUACGGUAGGCAGCAGUGGGGAAUAUGGCACAAUGGGUGCAAGCCUGAUGCAGCCAUGCCGCGUGUAUGAAGAAGGCCUUCGGGUUGUAAAGUACUUUCAGCGGGGAGGCGUUACCCACAGAAGAAGCACCGGCUAACUCCGUGCCAGCCGCCGCGGUAAUUC